AGAGUUUGAUCCUGGCUCAAACCAACGCUGGCGGCGUGCCUCACACAUGCAAGUCGAACGAUUAAUCUUCCCUUCGGGGAAGAUAUAAAGUGGCGCACGGGUGAGUAACACGUAGGUAAUCUACCUUUGAGUGGGGAAUAACUCGGGGAAACCCGAGCUAAUACCGCAUAAUGCAGCGGCACCUAAUGGUGACAGUUGUUAAAGAUUUAUCGCUUAAAAAGGAGCCUGCGGCAGAUUAGCUAUUUGGUAAGGUAAUGGCUUACCAAGGCGACGAUCUGUAUCCGACCUGAGAGGGUGGUCGGACACACUGACACUGAAUAACGGGUCAGACUCCUACGGGAGG
rnacentral:rRNA from 1 species